rnacentral:rRNA from 1 species
CCUACGGGUGGCAGCAGUGGGGAAUAUUGCACAAUGGGCGCAAGCCUGAUGCAGCCAUGCCGCGUGUGUGAAGAAGGCCUUCGGCUUGUAAAGCACUUUCAGCGGGGAGGAAGGCGGUGAGGUUAAUAACCUCAUCGAUUGACGUUACCCGCAGAAGAAGCACCGGCUAACUCCGUGCCAGCAGCCGCGGUAAUACGGAGGGUGCAAGCGUUAAUCGGAAUUACUGGGCGUAAAGCGCACGCAGGCGGUCUGUCAAGUCGGAUGUGAAAUCCCCGGGCUCAACCUGGGAACUGCAUUCGAAACUGGCAGGCUAGAGUCUUGUAGAGGGGGGUAGAAUUCCAGGUGUAGCGGUGAAAUGCGUAGAGAUCUGGAGGAAUACCGGUGGCGAAGGCGGCCCCCUGGACAAAGACUGACGCUCAGGUGCGAAAGCGUGGGGAGCAAACAGGAUUAGAUACCCCAGUAGUC